CAGCGCUCCAUUAAGUCAUGCCGUUAUGAUCACGACCACCGCCCGCGGCCGCAGAACCUGCCCGCUCUGCACACCAGGGCGGACACCCACAGACGCGUCCUUCACCCGCGCAGGGACCUGCCAGGGGCGCUUACACCGGAGGGUGUUCAGAGCAGGAAAGGAAGAGAUCAAAUCUGAACCCGGAUCCGUCUCCUACAGAACCUGAGUCGCUCAAUCAUCAGCUAGAUCGCCCAGUGUAGACAAAGCAAGUGGAAUUCUUUGAGGAGUAUACCUUGAGCUGGGCAAUCCUCAUAGAAGGUGGGAGACGACCGGCCCUUCAGUGUUCCUGGGGCAUCUUCUCCAAAGUGGAGGUCGAGGCAGGCCUAGGAGGAAAGAGAGGCAACUGCGGACGACCCCUCCGCAGAGAAGGUGAAACCGACGAGCUCCAGCACACACAGGCACACAACUGAAAAAGACCAUUGCAAGUAAAAUGAAUCAUUAAGCUGUUCAAGCCUAGAAACCACCACCAGAGGUGUCAAAAAUAAUAUAAGACCAGGCAUGAUGGCUCACACCUGGAAUCCCAGCACACCGGGAGGCCAAGGCUGAAGGAUGACUAGAGCCCAGGAUUUCAAGACCAGACUGGGGCUUUUUCACUCAUUCCCUAGGCAUGUGGGACCUCGAGGAUGGCGAAUCAGCUACCGGGAGGUGGCUUAAGUAGGAUUUGCUGCCAGCUAAAGCGUGAGAUGCUAUUGCGUGUGCAAGGCAAGGCUUUCUUCAGCGGCAUCAUCUUCCAAAAUAGCCCAGGUGCCAUUCAUGCCACUGAUCUUUGUUGAGCUCCUACUGUAUGCCAGAUACGUCAGGACACAUUACUGCAAACAGAAACCUUGGUCUUCAUGGAGUGAGCAUGCCUUUUUCCCGAAAAAUAAAAAAUAGUUGGUGUUUACUGCAAAUCGUAUGCCAA